AUGCUGCAGGGGCGCUGGGACAUGUGGGGACCCAGUGCCCCGAGGGAUGGCACCAGGAGGUUCCCCUUAGGGGCUGCCUUCAGGAGCACCACGCUCAGCACCCCGAGGCAGGCUCUGCGGCACCAGGGUGUCCUGGUGAGCAGCUCCGGGCUCCCAGGUCCCUCCCCGAGCCUACAGGCUUCAAGAGGAACACCCAGCUGUGGGGACACGGGGAUGCACACACAGCUCCGCCGGGCAAGUGGGAGCCCAGCACCGAAAAGCCCAUCGGGAGAUAAUGCGAAGGGCAGCAAGCGACCUCUGCCGAGGAGGGAACGGAUCAGCAGCAUGCUGGCAAGGUACAGAGAUGGGAAGAUAGCUUUGUGCGCGCGGACACGAAGCACACCAACAUGCCACCACGCACCCGCCUGCCUCCCUGGACGUGCCUCCCAGCCCUCCCCAUGGCUCUCCCACUUUUCGGAGGACUGCGGUGGCGAUCUCCAGUGCAGAUGUGCCUCCCACCCCCCCAAAGAUCUCUCCUCUGGACUUAGAGAGAAGAGGAAAAGGCAGAUUUUCAGAAAUGAAAAUUAUUUAAGGAUGUCCCUGCUGCCUCUCUCUGCUGCCCUCCUCUGUAGUACUGAAGCACUUGCAAAAAAUAAUACAAAGUAA
rnacentral:lncRNA from 1 species